rnacentral:rRNA from 1 species
GACGAACGCUGGCGGCGUGCUUAACACAUGCAAGUCGAACGGAAAGGCCCUGCUUUUGUGGGGUGCUCGAGUGGCGAACGGGUGAGUAACACGUGAGUAACCUGCCCUUGACUUUGGGAUAACUUCAGGAAACUGGGGCUAAUACCGGAUAGGAGCUCCUGCUGCAUGGUGGGGGUUGGAAAGUUUCGGCGGUUGGGGAUGGACUCGCGGCGUAUCAGCUUGUUGGUGGGGUAGUGGCUUACCAAGGCUUUGACGGGUAGCCGGCCUGAGAGGGUGACCGGCCACAUUGGGACUGAGAUACGGCCCAGACUCCUACGGGAGGCAGCAGUGGGGAAUAUUGCACAAUGGGCGGAAGCCUGAUGCAGCAACGCCGCGUGCGGGAUGACGGCCUUCGGGUUGUAAACCGCUUUCGCCUGUGACGAAGCGUGAGUGACGGGAAUGGGUAAAGAAGCACAGGCUAACUACGUG